UCGAGCAAGUUCAACCUGCGUCGUUGAACAGGAAUUUUGUUCCUCGCGAGCCUUGAUCCUCGAUCAGUUUUGACGGAAAUUUCACCCGACGGUGUCUGUCCCACCCGCGCUUAGUCUCAAUUAAUUAUAGCCAUAAAAUGAUUAAGCAAUAAUUAAUUAUUAAUUGCGAAAAGAAAAAAAUCAAUGUGUGAUUCUUCUGAUUAGAUCCGGAGCCUACGAGGAGCAGCGGCGACGGUGCCCGUUGGGAUCCGCUGAUGGCCUUGAUCCGCUGGACAAGUCCAAAUAAGAACACUGUGACAGGUCAAUCGUAGAGUGAUUUGAAGCCCAGCUAGUGCUGUUAUUUCGUUUUUGUCUCCACUUUCCGAAAGAGUCGUCUCGAUUACGACCAAUAUUUCUCAGGCUAUCAAUCAGGAGUGGGAACACCGCCACACCAGGAGAAAGUCAGGUAGAGGAAAAAGCAAAUCAGACGGCUAGGGCCGGGAGAGUCAACAACCGGAAUCAUCACAGCAGAUAUUUGAAAAGGCCCUGCUUGUACUCGUCCAAAAGGACGGCACGCGUGCUGCGAAUGCAGAAACUGGACGAUAUGCUGUUAUUUGUACUAGAACAUCAUAGCACGGCCAACGGAACCGAUUCCUUAGUUCAACUGGCCACCACUUUCGGUAGGCAUUUAGCGGAGUGUCUGAACGAUUUUCAGCGAUUUUCAAAAGUCAACCUGCGCGAAUGCGGCGAUUCGCAAGGGAAGCUAGCGACAAUGCACUGAUAAUGAAUAUUUUCUUGGAGGUACUCUCGUCAACAUGGCUAGCCAACACCCCUGGAAACAACAAUUGAAAAAAAAACUUGCAUCUUUACCAUGCCUGGCAAAAAAUAUUAAUUUUUCAUUUCUAUCCAUUUUAAUAAAA